rnacentral:rRNA from 1 species
GAUGAACGCUGGCGGCGUACCUAAUACAUGCAAGUCGAGCGAACAGACGAGGAGCUUGCUCCUCUGACGUUAGCGGCGGACGGGUGAGUCACACGUGGCUAACCUCCCUAUAAGACUGGGAUACCUUCGGGAAACCGGAGCUAAUACCGGAUAAUAUCUUGAACCGCAUGGUUCAAUAGUGAAACACGGUUUUGCUGUCACUUAUAGAUGGAUCCGCGCCGCAUUAGCUAGUUGGUAAGGUAACAGCUUACCAAGGCAACGAUGCGUAGCCGACCUGAGAGGGGGGUCGGCCACACGAGAACUGAGACACGGUCCAGACUCCUGCGAGAGGCAGCAGUAGGGAAUCUGCCGCAGUGGGGGAGAGCCUGACGGAGCAACGCCGCGUGAGUGAUGAAGGUCUUCGGAUCGUAAAACUCUGUUAUGAGGGAAGAACAAAUGUGUAAGUAACUAUGCACGUCUUGACGGUACCUGAUCAGAAAGCCACGGCUAACUACGUG